AUUGGGAAGUGACAGCAUGCAAGUGAGAGCCUCCCAAGUAACUGGGAUUACAGAUGCUGUAGAAGACAUAUGUACUUUCUAUGACACGUAAUCCAAUGGAGAAAACUUUUAGAUGUACAUUGUUACUGAAAAAAAAAAAAAACAACACACACAACACAGCCUAGGACACUGACGCAGACAGAUGACCUAAGCCCGGAGCCUGCCCAUGAUCUUCGACAUCUCCUUUCUCCUCACCAGAUCCAAACCAGUAAAGCUGCUUCCAGACAGCUUAACACCAUGUGUCUCUUCUGACUCUAUUCACUGCUAUUCGUACAUGUGAUCAUAUCCCCAUCAAUUUAUUCUAGAAUUACUGCCUUAGUCUCUUAUCUCUAUAACCCCAACCCCAUCUUCCUCUCCAAUCUGUUUUCCAUACUGCAACAAUAGUGAAUUUAUCAAAACAUAAAUUUGAUCACACCAGAUUUUGAAGAGCUGAUGGGGGUAAUAACCAAACCAGCAAGGUAGAAGAGCCUGGAGACUAUGGAUAGAAAGUUACAAACAGAAGGAUCUUAAACAACAUUGAUCUCAGCUCUUUCAUUUAACAGAGGAAAAGUUUGGGGCACAACAGUUCAACAAAAAAGAUUUCUCUGGAGGGAUACAAAGGCAUAGAACAAAGACAUCUCAUUAUAUCCUUGUUUUUUUUUUUUUUUUUUUUUUUGUUUUUUUUUUUUGAGACAGAGUAUCGCUCUGUCAUCCAGGCUGAAGUGCAGCGGCGUGAUCUUGGCUCACUGCAAUCUCUGCCUCCAGGACUCAAGCGAUUCUCCUGCCUCAGCCUCCCCAGUAGCUGGGAUUACAGGUGUGCACCACCACACCUGGCUAAUUUUUGUAUUUUUUUUAGUAAAGAUGGAGUCUCACCAUGUUGGCCAGGCUGGUUUCGAACCCUAGGCCUCAGGUGAUCUGCCCACCUUGACCUCCCGAAGUCCUGGGAUUACAGGUGUGAGCCACCUCACCUGGCUGGGUUUCUUUCCAUUAAUUCAUAUCCACUGGUCUCUGGAACUGUGCUGUCACUCUUCUCUUCCAACCUAUGAAAAAAAAUUCCCUUAUUUUAUUAUUGUUUUCAAAUUAGCAGAGGAGAUAUUAAAUUGGCUUGGGAAAAAUAACACAGAUAAACAUGAUUUAAAUAUUAGGCUCCCCAAAUGAGCUCGCAGCAUCCAGAGAGAAGAACCAUCUUGUACAUUCUGAAAAUAGAACAGUAGAAAUAAUUUACUAAGUUUCUGAUCACAUGUGGACAUGAACUAGCUGAUAGCUUUAACCAUCAUAUACACAAGAGACAGUGAUAGAGAACAGUUUAUAUUAAUUCUAUACAAACCAAACCACUUUUAUCUUCCUAAAGAAUGGGUUAAUAGACACUAAAGUAGCAUCUUGAUCUGCUAUCUUUUGGGCUUAUCUGCAGAAAAGUUAUAGGCACUAAGAAGCCAAACUCCAUGACACAGAUUUCACUGGUACUGCACCACUUAUGUCACCUGCAUCUUUUUUAGGGACGUUGGCCGCAAAGUACCUGCUCAGUGGAGGACCAGAGCAUGAAAUAGGCUUUUAGUCACUUUAUGGUUAAAAAGAAAAGAGAGAGAAAAAAAGUAUCACAUUUCAUGAUGUCAGAUGGAGAAGAAACACUGUAGGAAGAUCCUCCCAGACAGAAAGAAAUUCAGAAAAAGAGUCAAGGUGCAAAGAAGAAUGUGAUUUCCCAAAAGGCAAAAGGAGCUUUGUAAACUUUGUUUUGAAAAAUCUCUCAGAGGACUUUGAGUCAAUGUCUUAUUUUAUCCAAAUUGGCUUUCACUUCUGUCACUAUUAUUAGAGCUGUUGAGUUUUGCCUGGAAGUGUUGUAGAUCCUGUGGUUCCCACGUUUUCUCAAAAACAGAAUCACCUGAAAAUAUUUCUGUGGUUGAGAAGUGCAGUGAAUUUAGCUGGCUGUUUGAACACUUCUCUAAUGUCAUCGGCUUUUUGUUCUACCUUCCUGCUGGUUCUCAUCACUCUUCUAAUUCCAAAUGUGGUUAAGAGAAAGAAAGGCAAAAUAAAAGUCUAUUUUCAAGCCAAAUAACACCACCCAUGACUAACUAUAUACUGUAUUUGUGACUUUGGACAUUUUUAUCAUUGCCAACUCCU